rnacentral:rRNA from 1 species
UACGAAGGGGGCUAGCGUUGCUCGGAAUUACUGGGCGUAAAGGGCGCGUAGGCGGCACUGUUAGUCAGGCGUGAAAGUCCUGGGCUCAACUUGGGAACUGCGCUCGAAACUACGUGGCUGGAGUGUGGCAGAGGAAGGUGGAAUUCCAGGUGUAGCGGUGAAAUGCGUAGAGAUCUGGAGGAACACCGAUGGCGAAGGCAGCCUUCUGGGCCAACACUGACGCUCAUGCACGAAAGCGUGGGGAGCAAACAGG